GACGUAGGAUGCGAGCGUUAUUCGGAUUUAUUGGGCGUAAAGCGUGCGUAGGCGGCUGUUUAAGUCUGGUGUUAAAGCUAGGGGCUCAACCCCUGUGGUGCACUGGAAACUGGGCAGCUUGAGUGCGGUAGGGGAAGGUGGAAUUCCGAGUGUAGCGGUGAAAUGCGUAGAUAUCAGGAAGAACACCCGUGGCUAAGGCGGCUCUCUAGUACGGUACUGACGCUGAGACGCGAAAGCGUGGGGAGCGAACAGG
rnacentral:rRNA from 1 species